rnacentral:snRNA from 1 species
ACGUAGAAGAUUAACAUGACCCCUGCGCAAUGAUGACACACAUACCCGAGAAUGGUCCAAUUUUAUU